rnacentral:rRNA from 1 species
GAAGGGUGGUGUUUAUUAGAAUUUUCAAACCAAUGAUGAAGUUUACUUCAUGUUUGAUGACUCAUGAUAAAUUUACGAAUCGCAAGACUUUAUGUUGGCGAUGUAUCAAUUAAAUUUCUGCACUAUUAACUUUUGAUGUAAGUGUAUUGUACUUACAUGGUUUUGAUGGUUAACGGAGGAUUAGGGUUUGAUUCCGGAGAGGGAGCCUGAGAAAUGGCUACCACAUCCAAGGAAGGCAGCAGGCGCGCAAAUUACCCAAUCUCAAUACGAGGAGGUAGUGACAAUAAAUAACAAUGCAGGGCUUUUUGAGUCUUGCAAUUGGAAUGAGUACAAUUUAAAACCCUUAACGAGAAACAAUUGGAGGGCAAGUCUGGUGCCAGCAGCCGCGGUAAUUCCAGCUCCAAUAGCGUAUAUUUAUGUUGUUGCAGUUGAAAAGCUCGUAGUUGGAUUUGAGGUUUAGGGAUAUGGUCUCAUCUUCGGAUGUUGUACUGUAUUUCUUUAUCUUUUACAUGAGAAGGUAUUCUGUUCUUUAUUGGAUGGUUUAUUGACUCAUGUCUUUUACUUUGAAAAAAUUAGAGUGUUCAAAGCAGGCUUAUGCCUUGAAUACAUUAGCAUGGAAUAAUAAGAUAGGACUUUUGUCUAUUUUGUUGGUUUUUAUGGACUGAAGUAAUGAUUAAUAGGGGCAGUUGGGGACAUUAAUAUUUAAUUGUCAGAGGUGAAAUUCUUGGAUUUAUUAAAGAUUAACUACUGCGAAAGCAUUUGUCAAGGAUGUUUUCAUUAAUCAAGAACGAAAGUUGGGGGAUCGAAGACGAUCAGAUACCGUCGUAGUCUCAACCAUAAACUAUGCCGACGAGAAAUUAGUGAAUGUUUAUUCAUUGACUUCAUUAGCUUCUUCCGAGAAAUCAAAGUUUUUGGGUUCUGGGGGGAGUAUGGUCGCAAGGCUGAAACUUAAAGGAAUUGACGGAAGGGCACCACCAGGAGUGGAGCCUGCGGCUUAAUUUGACCCAACACGGGAAAACUUACCAGGUCCAGACAUAAGAAGGAUUGACAGAUUGAGAGCUCUUUCUUGAUUUUAUGGGUGGUGGUGCAUGGCCGUUCUUAGUUGGUGGAGUGAUUUGUCUGCUUAAUUGCGAUAACGAACGAGACCUUAACCUACUAAAUAGCUACGUGAAACCUAA